rnacentral:misc_RNA from 1 species
GAUGAAGAACGCAGCGAAAUGCGAUAAGUAAUGUGAAUUGCAGAAUUCAGUGAAUCAUCGAAUCUUUGAACGCACAUUGCGCCCGCUGGUAUUCCGGCGGGCAUGCCUGUUCGAGCGUCAUUUCAACCCUCAAGCUCUCCGGAGUUUGGUGUUGGGGCGCCUGGGGCUUUUCGACCUCAGGGCCCUCAAGUCCAUCGGCGGGACCGCCAGGACACUGAGCGCAGUAGUAUUAUUUCGCUCGGUAGGAUCUUCCACGGCGGGUCGAUCUGGCCGCUAAACCCCCCAAUUCUCACCAAAGGUUGACCUCGGAUCAGGUAGGAAUACCCGCUGAACUUAAGCAUAUCAAUAACGGAGGA